GACGAACGCUGGCGGCGUGCCUAACACAUGCAAGUCGAACGGAGUGAUGAUUUCGGUUAUCACUUAGUGGCGAACGGGUGAGUAACGCGUGAGAAACCUGCCUUUCAGUGGGGGACAACAGUUGGAAACGACUGCUAAUACCGCAUAAUGUCAUUGGGGGCAUCCCUGGAUGACCAAAGAUUUAUUGCUGAAAGAUGGUCUCGCGUCUGAUUAGCUGGUUGGCGGGGUAACGGCCCACCAAGGCGACGAUCAGUAGCCGGUCUGAGAGGAUGAACGGCCACAUUGGGACUGAGAUACGGCCCAG
rnacentral:rRNA from 1 species